GAACUAGUAGCUUAUCGGAUAAAGUAUGGAUUUCCGAAGUCCAAGAGUGUGGGUUCGAAUCCCACCUAGUUCU
rnacentral:tRNA from 1 species